CUGGUCGGACAUCAGGAGGUUAGUGCAAUGGCAUAAGCCAGCUUGACUGCGAGCGUGACGGCGCGAGCAGGUGCGAAAGCAGGUCAUAGUGAUCCGGUGGUUCUGAAUGGAAGGGCCAUCGCUCAACGGAUAAAAGGUACUCCGGGGAUAACAGGCUGAUACCGCCCAAGAGUUCAUAUCGACGGCGGUGUUUGGCACCUCGAUGUCGGCUCAUCACAUCCUGGGGCUGAAGUAGGUCCCAAGGGUAUGGCUGUUCGCCAUUUAAAGUGGUACGCGAGCUGGGUUUAGAACGUCGUGAGACAGUUCGGUCCCUAUCUGCCGUGGGCGCUGGAGAACUGAGGGGGGCUGCUCCUAGUACGAGAGGACCGGAGUGGACGCAUCACUGGUGUUCGGGUUGUCAUGCCAAUGGCACUGCCCGGUAGCUAAAUGCGGAAGAGAUAAGUGCUGAAAGCAUCUAAGCACGAAACUUGCCCCGAG
rnacentral:rRNA from 1 species